AACCCUUGUUCACCUGCACAUGGCUGAGUGUCCAGGGAUGGAGGGGCUGAGGAUCCAUUCCUUGUUCCGUCCCAGGUUCUGACUGACGUACUGAGGCUCAGCACCGUCCCAUGCCCCCAGUCUGGGUAUUAGAAAGCUGACCUCUGAGUCUUCUCCACAACCUUUAAUCAAACAGUCCCCACACAGCACAGAAAGUGUCAGGCACACGUUGAGGUCUCAGCGAGUGAUGGUGGCAGGUAAGAGGCCCUCCAAGCCCCAUCAGUCCUCUGUACUUGGGGUUCUAGAAUCCUCAGCUGUCCCAGUGUGACUGAGCUGACGUAACAAAAUGAGAAGGCCGGUCAGAAAUCCCAUCCGUAUUCCUGGUUAAACCAUGAGGCUGAUGAAAGUGAAUUCCAAGUCACAGAGACCCAGGUCCAGAGAGUUCAGUUCAUCCCAGUGAGGAAGGACUAAAUCGAGAAAAACCUCACAUCAAGAUCCUUCACUUGGCGCUAAGGGGGCAGCUCAGUCGGAGCCACUGGACAAAAAUGGUGGAAAGUGUCAGACCUCGAGAGACCCGGGGUGAAGAGAAAAAUUAAAUUCAAGAUCUGGUGGGCAUGGUGGCCAGCAAGCAUGUGUCAUUCCAGCCUUUGGGGAGGCUGAGGCAAGAAAGCGAUGAGGUUGAGACUACCCUGGGCUACCAAUUGAGGAGCACCUCACCUUUGAGUCUCCUUGUGGUCAUGAAUUACGUCUUCUGUGUUUCAAGGAUGAAGUACUCUUUGGCCACCUUAAGAAAAAUAGGGCUUUUGUAGGUUCAAUGAAGGAACUGGUGGCUGCUGAUGGCCAUGUUGUCACCAUGAGAGAAGUCAGUCAUCCUGAGGUUGAAGCCACAAAUGUAGAUGAUGGAAUGGAGAGUGACCUCUGAGCCCCUGAGUCAUUGAAAACAUUGUUGAACUGCCAAACAACCCAUUUCUGAAGCCUCUCUCCCUCUCUCCCUCUCUCUCUCUCUUCCCCACCCCUCUCUCUCUCUCAUCUCCUGACCCCAUUUUGUUAUGGAAUAAUCUUUUUGUGCACUGUGAAGAU